rnacentral:rRNA from 1 species
UACGAAGGGAGCGAGCGUUGUUCGGAUUUACUGGGCGUAAAGGGCGCGUAGGCGGCGGGUCAAGUCGAGUGUGAAAGCCCCGGGCUCAACCUGGGAAUUGCGCUCGAGACUGGUCUGCUUGAGUUCGGGAGAGGAGAGUGGAAUUCCCGGUGUAGCGGUGAAAUGCGCAGAUAUCGGGAAGAACACCCGUGGCGAAGGCAGGUCCCUGGGCUGACACUGACGCUCAUGCACGAAAGCGUGGGGAGCAAACAGG